AGGCCCAAAGACAGAGGCAAGGUCUGAUCCGCAGCCUCAGUGGCAGCUGUUGAUCAGCCAUUGCCUCUCUCUUUCUCUCCU
rfam:Myotis lucifugus cont2.67259, whole genome shotgun sequence.